UAAAAACCGCGAUCAGACAUCUGUGCAUCAACCAGUCUCAGAGAGAGAAAGUCUGUGCUCCUUCUUCUGCUAUCAUCUUUAGUAACAACAUGUGGAAGCUAAGUCCAACUGCAGGUCUCUGUUUGACUCUCGCCAUCUUGGGUAUCAUCACAGCACCUGUCUCUGCAUUCCGGUCAAGGCA